CCAAUAACAAUUACAUUAUAUAUAUAACAUGCACUUUGGGGGACGAAUUACUUGCCGAAACUUAACAAAGAAAAACUGUGAAAUUAAAAAUUACUUCCUAAACUUAGACAACGCCUCAGAUUACGGAGGUACCUUCAAUUUCAAAAAAUCAGCCGAAAUAGCUGUUUCGCACAAAAAGGAAGUAUUCGCUUCCAAAUGAUCAGUUAAUGAUAAUUUCAGUAUAACAUUUUGUUUCUUUAUAGGUAAAUAUUAACGAUCAUUUUCAUUUUUUCUAAAAUCUAUCGUAUAAUCCACAAUAUUAGAGAUAACAUUGGGUAGUUGUAUAAUUACAUCCUACCCCUUUGUCUCAAUCUCACUAAUGUGUAUUCCGAAAAGUGCUCACUGUUCGCGAAUGAAAUUCAUACUAUUAUACUAUUAUUUUUCUUUUGAUUCAUUUGUACGCGCAUGCUUCAUAUACAUAACCUUGAGCAUUAUAUUGUUCAAAUACAUAAUGUUUUACAUUGCCUGGUAUCGAAUGGUAGUAUGAAGGCGGCUAUAAAAAUCUUUAUGCUCGCAAAAUCGUUAUUUUCUUUGGGCGAGGGGAGGGGGGUAAUGGGUGGUUCAAAUGAAUAGUUUCUAAAGAAAAAUUUAAAGCUGUAUCUAAAAGGGCAAUUUAUGUUAUUACUAAAAAAAGAAUUUUGGUAUGGGUCAUGAAAGUCAUUCUCGACAAUUUUUGAAUAAUUUAUAUUUUUUUCAAAAAUCUAUGUUGGCAGAUUUUAGUCAUGUUAAGCCUUUAUGACUUGGUAAAAUCUUUUUUUUUUUUUUUUUUUUUUUUAUAAAUAAAUCUUUUAUUGUACAUUUCUCUGCUGUUUUUACAACUUACACGACUCACAGCAUUCAGUCGGGUAUCCCUGUAAAUUAGUUACUGUUUAACCAGGGAGAUUAUACAGUAAAAUUUAUAUCUAUUAAAUAUGGUUAGUUAUACAAUGAAUACAUUGAUUUUAACAAUUUGUUUUUGAAGUCUUUAUUAUAUUAAGUAAUUACGGAAGUUGUACUAUCUAUUGUCCGAUAUUGUUUAUAGUUUAAUCGUUGACCUUAACCUUGAUCAAAAUAGUUCACGUGAAAGUUGAGAUGAUCGGAUGAUUAAAGAAUACCACGGCAUGUGUAUUGAUGAUGAGAGCAGAAGGAUCUUAUCUAAGUAUUUCUAAUGGUCUGAUAUUUUGACAGUAGGCUGUAAUUGUUGGACUAUAUACAUGGUGUAGGAAUUUACAAUAAGUUUAGAAACAGUCGAAAUGUUUAUAGUUUGCAGAAACGGUACUUGUAUAUUUCUAUGGAGGAACAUUUUGGCAAAUAAUGUGUGGCUUGCAGAGGAUAGAAGGAUGGUUUUUACCAUAUGGAUUAAAUAGAACUUUUGAAGUAUUCCUAAUAUGUGGAUUAAAUAAGAUAUCCAAAUGCCUUUUACGUGAAAUGAAAAAGGGCAGUGUAAUAAUUCUAAUAUAUGUGGAUUGAGACUGAUGGAUAAUUUGUUAUAAAGCAAGCAUAUAUUCAGAAAAGUUGAUUUUGGAUUAUGUGGAUUAAUGAAUUGGUAUUCAUCAAGGAUAUAUUCUUUUUAUCUAUAUUUCUACUUCGAGCGGCCAGUGUGUUUUUUUUAAACAGUUCAACUUCAAGUAUAUGUAUAAUUAUUAUGUUUAUUGUGUUAUGAUUUUUUAUAUGAGUAUUAUGCAUCAUAAUAAAUUUUAUUACCAAUACAGCUUUCCAUAUAUAUUUUUUAAAACCUGAGAAAGUUAUUUUUGUGAUCGUUUUAUCACAACUUCACUUGUUCCUACAUGUAUCUGUUAUUUGUUGAAAAGCAUAUUCAGAACAGAGACAUUUAUAUAGUGAUUUUACGAUAUUCAACAAUGGGGUCAUUUGAAAAUCAUCUUUUUUUAAAAUAUAGUUUUAUACACAAUUUAUUACAUGUAUAUACAUUUUCAUUCAUAUUUAUUGUAAUACUAUUUUCAAGGUGUAUAUAAUCUGAAAUUAUAUCACACUCUGACUUAUUUUUUUUUAUAUUUUUUUCCUGGCUAAAAAGAGAUAUAUACAAACAAAUAAAAAAUAUGAUACAGUAUUUACAAUGA